CUUUCCUCCUGUGAGCCAAUGAGGCCAGCUGGACUACGCCGAGACAACUGGGAGAGGCGCGGGACUCGCCCGUUCCGCGGAACGCCGGGAAGGGGUCACCUCCUGAUGAAGUUUCCGGUUCCGGUGUCAGCGGCGGUUGAAUUGCCAUGGCAAUGCGGUGGGCGCGCGCUUGUCGUGUUGGUCUCUUGGGAGGUAGCGGGGCUAGGCCGGGCGGGUAUCCGCCUCUCCCAGCUUAGGUGAGCGUCCCCGGGCGCCUCCGGAGCGCCGCGGCCGCAUGCAGUUCGUCGUGGCGGGGAGCCGGAGCCUGACCGGGGUUCCAGCGCUCGGGCCGUAGCCUUGGCUCCUGGACUUUCCCUGGCUCCGCCGCCACGUGGGAGCUGAGGCUCUGGGGCUUCCGCCUCCGGCGCGCGAUUAUUUCUCUAGAACAGUUUUCAUUUUUAAAAUUUGUAAAGCGCUUUUGCCUGUGUGAUUUCCUCUGGGUUUUUUUUUUUUUUCUUCCUUUUUGUAGAGACGGAAUUGGCGGCGGGGGCGGGGGGUCGAUGUCUCACUUUUUUGCCCAGGCUGGUCUCGAACUCCUGGCUUCAAGGGAUCCUCCUGCCUCGGCCUCUUAAAGUGCUGGGAUUACAGGCGUGAGCCACCGCCCCCGGCCGCCUCUGAGUUUCCAGCCUCGUUGGCCCUCCAGCCUUUUAACCUGUUGGGCCUAGGAUCAGGAAAGGUUUGUUGAAUGGGGAACUAAGAAGUGAAUUCGUUCGUUCGACAAACGUUUCCUGAGCAGCCGCUGGGUGCUAGGCGCAGUGCCAGCGCGGAAUGUCCAGGGAGACCUGGUGCCCAAAGCUUGGACCCAUCGUGAGAAAUGAGAAGCAGAUACAAAGCAGUGUGGGAGUGCAGAGGAGACAAAGCAAGCCUCAUCAGGCCCAUUGCUUGCUCUGCUCUCCCUUGUACUUACCAGUGCUUGACAAUAUACAGUUAUUUACUAGCUUGGUUAUUGACUUCCUACCCAGCACUCAGUUUUAUUCACUGCUGUAUCCUCAGUGCCUAGGACGAUGCUUGGAACGUGAUUCAUUGAUUCCAGGUAAAUCAGAGGAACAAGCAACAUGAACAGAAAUAUGUAGAAAAAGCUAUUAUGCAGAAGCAUAAUUGUUGUUUCAGAAGUCCAGCAUCUGGUGCACUUAACAAUAGAGAAUAUAUUAAACUCUUUCCAAAAUAACCUGUUGUUCCUACCUGUGUUGUAAGUGUUUUGUUUGUUUUUAAGUAAAUAUUGGUGAUUUGUUGCCAAAAACCUAAACUGUUUGUUGCUGUCAACUUAAAUAACGAACAGAGAGAGGCUCUCUAAAAGAAAAUGGCAUUUAUUCAGGAAUAGAGCACUGCAAUGAGAAAAUGCAUGCGAUAGUUAACUGUGUGUAUCCUGGGAGAUAGAGGAAGACAAAGGUCUUUAAAGGAAAAAUGAGGAGGGUUACAUAAUUGUUUUGAGAUAAUUAUUUUUGACUACAAGGAUCAGUAACAAAGGUGACACCAGUCCCAGGUUGGACAGGCAGGUGCUCGGCAGGCAUUGCAGAAGUAUUUUUUGUGUAAGAUUGAGAUGGCCUUUGUGCAGGAUUGUGGUUUUGGAAUCUUCUGUGAUCGUUUUUGCUAUCAGGCAUUUAUGCUUGCGAACUCUUUAUGGCCUUCCCUGUGUCUAUUUUGAUUCCACCUUUCUCAUUGCCCACUCUAAACUGUAAUUCUGCUUUUAUGUUGACUGAGAUCAGGAGAAGAAUUUGCAAACUUAUAUCCUGAGACAGAACAGUAAUGAGGAGUAUCGUGUUCCUUACCUAAUGUAUAAUAUUGGGCUCAGAAGCAGUUGUCUUUUUUAUUUGUUGAACGUUGUAUUAAGUUGAGAAUGCAGCUGCCAUUAAAGAUUAAGAGUAAUCCUUGAGAAGGAAGAGUACAAAGCCUGUGUUUUGCUAAAUCAUAGUGAAGUUGCCGUGUUUUUGUAGAAUAUGAUAAGAACAUACAGUGUGUGAAAUGCUAAGGAUAUGGAAAAGCAUGUUGGUGCUCUUUCAAGGAGCUAUUUUGAUAGCAUGAGCAAGGGCAGGAAACAGAUCAUGUAUCUGAACCAAAGAAAUUGAAACAAUACAUCUAAAUUUAAAUUUUUAAUAAAACAACCCAAAAUAUAGUGAAAUACUUAGCACCAAACAUCAGUGAUCUUAAGAAGCAAAGAAAACAGUAUUCAAAAUACUUCGUCCAAAGUAUCAGACUUUUGCAUAAAGUUUGGCAUUUUGGUUUUGAGAUUCCUCUUUAGUCCUAUGAUGAAAACAUGACAAAAUAUACAUCUUAAAUAAACAGUUGUCAUCAGUCUGCAUCUAUGACCAGAUGUUUUGGGUGUUUUGAGUAAAUGGCCUGUCUUAGCAUGUGAUGGCUUCCUGCCUCGUGAACAUUAGUGAAGAGGUGAGGGUGGGAAGUACUCAGGAACUUCUGAGAAUCCUGGGAUUUGAGUCACAGGAUUGGUUAAACCCCAAACUAAAUAAUCAUGCCGUGUAAACAUGCUGACUCAGGCAUCCUAAAAAUGUUUUUCUUCCUUGUGUUUAUUUAUAGAUAAGGCUUUACUAUAUUUGGUAGAACUCCUGUUUUCUAUCCACUUCUCCAAAAACAAAUUCGCCAUUGAAUUCAUCGUGUAAACCUCCACAUAUCUGAGAUAGCUUCUUCCGUUUAUCAGCCCCAAAUGAAGAACUAGAGUUCAGAUUAUUGAACUGAAGGUGAUGCUUUAUCUGAGCACUCCACAUGUCAGUG
rnacentral:lncRNA from 1 species